GUCUCGUUCAACACCUCCAUUGCACAUGAUCUAAAGGAUUUGGUGGUGAUUGAUCUUCUUAUAUCUAUCUAUAGUAGAUUAAAGUUAUUGAAUUAUUAAAGUUGUUGAAUUAUUAAAGUUAUUUAUGAAAGAGUGUGCACCACUUGCCGACGAUACAGUGACAGUACGACUCCUUGAAUUAUUAUGUUUAUAACAGUACCAAACAUUUCUUCAAAACAAAAAAAAAACAAAAAAACAGUACUACCAAACAUAGUUCAUCAAUUCCUGAAACCCAUUUUAGAGUUUAUUGCUCUUGAGCUGAAACAAAAAAUACCGUUGCUCAUUGUCAUUCAGAAAACAAAACACAAAAAUAGUGAAGGAAAGUUUUCUCACUGUUCAUUUCAAAGAUUUCAAAGAUUGGAGUUUCUUCAACUAAUAGAGAGUAGUAGUCUUGUUAUAUCGCAUCAUCAAUAGCACCGGUUGUUCCGUUGUUGAUUCAUAAUCUUGCAGGUAUUGAGGCUUAUUAGAGGUGGUGACUCAAAGUGUCUAGGGCUCUGAUACGUGGGAUGGGAACUGUCUUUCAUAUUAUUGUUGUUUUCCUUUCCAUGUAUCAAAUUUUGAACUUGUUGAUGUGGUCUUUUGUUGGUCGACUUAUUGUUGUUUAGGCCUUUGAUGCCAUAGACUGAUGUUGAAUUGAAAACCAUUCCGCUGCUAUGUUUUCAUUUUUAUCAA